GACGAACGCUGGCGGCGUGCUUAACACAUGCAAGUCGAACGGAAAGGCCCUGCUUUUGUGGGGUGCUCGAGUGGCGAACGGGUGAGUAACACGUGAGUAACCUGCCCUUGACUUUGGGAUAACUUCAGGAAACUGGGGCUAAUACCGGAUAGGAGCUCCUGCUGCAUGGUGGGGGUUGGAAAGUUUCGGCGGUUGGGGCUGGACUCGCGGCUUAUCAGCUUGUUGGUGGGGUAGUGGCUUACCAAGGCUUUGACGGGUAGCCGGCCUGAGAGGGUGACCGGCCACAUUGGGACUGAGAGACGGCCCAGAAUCCUACGGGAGGCAGCAGUGGGGAAUAUUGCACAAUGGGCGGAAGCCUGAUGCAGCAACGCCGCGUGCGGGAUGACGGCCUUCGGGUUGUAAACCGCUUUCGCCUGUGACGAAGCGUGAGUGACGGUAAUGGGUAAAGAAGCACCGGCUAACUACGUG
rnacentral:rRNA from 1 species